rnacentral:lncRNA from 1 species
CAUCUCUCUGAUUCUUUGUAAGCUGCUUACAUACAAGCAGAAAAGAACAAGAAAGAAAAAAUUAAAUAGGAAAAUGGACUUCGCCUGGUGUGUGGUAUUUCUCUUAGAGAAUUUCUAGAUGUGUUUGAAGGGAUUCUCUUUGUAAAUUCCAGCUCAUUUCAAGAGAAAAAGCAGUAGGAAGACACUUAUCUGAAGAGAAAAGUUGGACUUGCCAUUGCUCAUGUAAUGGAAAUUUUAGAGUCUCCAGUAAUAACAAGGAAAGUGCUUCAUCUUCAAAGCGCCUUGAAAACAUUUGUUAUCUGAACAUCUGCAGGAUUGGAUGUCCUUCCACCGUUCAAAGUCUCUCCCACUACUGCACAAGCACUGUAAACAAGGAGGAUGCAGCAGCCACGCAGAUGGGGGGAGGAUGAGGUGUCCCUGCUGCCUGUUCCCAGCACAGGAGGGCUUGGGUUGCACUGAGCCACAACUAACGGGAGGGCUGUGGCCCCUUGGCUUCUUCUGGAGCUGA